AGAAAAUUAGUUUAAUUAAAACAUAAGCUUGUCAUGCUUGAAAUAUUAAUCAAUAUUUUCUU
rnacentral:tRNA from 1 species